UACGUAGGGUGCGAGCGUUGUCCGGAAUUAUUGGGCGUAAAGGGCUCGUAGGCGGUGUGUCGCGUCGGCCGUGAAAACUUGCAGCUUAACUGUGGGCGUGCGGUCGAUACGGGCAUCACUGGAGUUCGGCAGGGGAGACUGGAAUUCCUGGUGUAGCGGUGAAAUGCGCAGAUAUCAGGAGGAACACCGGUGGCGAAGGCGGGUCUCUGGGCCGAUACUGACGCUGAGGAGCGAAAGCGUGGGGAGCGAACAGG
rnacentral:rRNA from 1 species